AUUGAACGCUGGCGGCAGGCGGAAGACAUGCAAGUCGAACGAGUGGCGGACGGGUGAGUAAUGCUUGGGACUCUGGCUAAUGGAGGGGGAUAACGACGGGAAACGGUCGCUAAUACCGCGUACCAUAGGAUGAGCCCAAGUGGGAUUAGGUAGGUGGUGGGGUAACGGCUCACCAAGCCGACGAUCCCUAGCUGGUCUGAGAGGAGGACCGGCCACACCGGAACUGAGACACGGUCCGGACUCCUACGGGAGGCAGCAGUGGGGAAGAUUGCGCAAUGGGGGCAACCUGAUGCAGCCAUGCCGCGUGAAUGAAGAAGGCCUUCGGGUUGUAAAGUUCUUUCGGUAGCGAGGCGUUAACCACAGAAGAAGCACCGGCUAACUCCGUUCCAGCAGCCGCGGUAAUAC
rnacentral:rRNA from 1 species